CAAUAAAUAUUCAGUUUGGCCCGUGACUUUAUCUCAGUUUUAUAUUUUGGCCCACUGUGAAUUUGAGUUUGACGCCCCUGUUUUAAGGGGUCUCAGAUCACAUGGUUUGUUCACAUAUACAAACUGAACCGCUCCGAGAGCAUGCCUCUACUGCAGUGUUUUGAAGAAAUUAAGACCUGGGGCCUGUUGCACAAAAGUAGAAUUAAUACAUCCAGGAUAAAUGACUGAGCUGAGCUCAAUGGAUCCAAAACAAGUGCGGCCAGGCUUAAUUGGUUGCACAAAGACCAAGCCAGGAUGAGCAGACAAGGAUUCAUCAAGCCAGGUGAAACCAAUCCUGGAUAUGUGCGCGCUCACGGCUCACUCAAACAGACCUGCCACCGAUCACAGAUUCAAUGAUUCACCAUGGCAGAGCGGCGUACUUUUCACCGUCGGAGGCACAAAUCCUCAUGGAGGCAUACGAGGAUGUAAAAGACAUAAUUAAGAAGAAAGGCAACACCGCCACAGUGACAAAGCAAAGAGAAAAAGCGUGGCAAAGUAUUGCAGACCGCCUGAAUGCGUGAAUUCGCUGGUGUGUUGCUGAGAGACAGGGGGUAUGGCUGCCAGCCCUUUCUCCAGACCCCCAGGAAGCACAGCAGGCCUACAACCAUGCCAGGACCAGGGCCAGAGUUGAAAUGACCUUUGGCCUCCUGAAGGCACGCUUUCUCUGCCAUCACAAAUUAAGGGUCAGCCCUGUGAGGGCAUGUGACAUUUCUGUGGCUUGUGCUGUCCUCCACAAUGUGGCCUGCCUGAUUAAGGAGAGGGCCCCCAGAGUGCCACCAGCCAUGGACUGGGACAAUCCAGCAAUCUUCCCUGAUGACAGUGGUCGGCUGCUGAGGGACCAAUGUGUGUUGAAUUAUUUUAGUUAGUAUAUGUGCUUUCAAUUUUGGUUAAAUAUGUCCUGCGGUGGCAGAGGAAUUUGGGGGUUUUAUUGGGUUUUUUUUUUAUUGUUUUGGCCUCUUAUGAUGUUUGUGCUGUAUACUGUGUGUAAUACAAUCUUGCAGGGAGGCUACUGCAUCCAUUCAUUUGUCUGUUCAGUUGAUGUGUAUGGAUUUGUCCUGCAUUUAUUUCAGUGUGCAGACAUGUGGGGUGUGCUAUAUUCAGACCUUUUGAAUGUGUUUUUAUCCUUGUGUUGUAUAAUAUGCUUUGAUUCUGUGCUUUCCAUCUUGUAGAUUCACUGUGUUUCCAAAGGAGCUGAUGGUUUACCUGCUUUGUUUUAACCUUAUUCAAUAAAGGAACAUAAUGUUA